GAGUGCUCAUUUCUGGGUCUCGAUUGUAUGGGCCGAGCGGGCUAGCGCUACCACACCAGAUAGCGGAGUUUUCUGAAAACAAUAAACAAAACAGAUAGUAGCGGAGGUCCUCUUCUCCCCGUGGAUGCUCUGCUCGAACCCCACCACAUCGGAGAUCGGAGACACGUCGCCGGCCGGCCGGCCGGCCGGGAUCCUCCGUCUCUGGUUGCCGACGUACUAGUUCCUCCCUCCAAGCCACUUAUCCAUCCCCGAUCGGCCGCCGUCGGGCUACCGCGGUCGACGCUCGGCGGACUAGUCUGCCUUCUUGGAUGGCGCCGGAGACGAGAGCCGGCGACCGGAUAGGGGAGGGAGGCCCGCGCUUUGGGGACGGUGCUCUUCGGCGUUUUGGAGCCGAGGAGGAAGUAGGGGGAGGCGCCGGCCGAUGGCCACUCCGUUAAGUGCGUGCGCGAAAUGCUAACAGAUGAAGGCGGCGCACCCCUCUGACUCUGUGUAGGGCAAGGUAUCUAGUACUGUGGCAUCUCAGCAGGGGCAGUUGGGCUAAGAAAGGAUUCCCAAGGUCAUGCCGGCAUUUGCAUCUGCAGAAGAAUCAGCCACAAAUCCAGUGCUCUGCUGCUCAGGCUGCCCAAACUGCAUGUUGAAGAGCGGCGAU